UAGUCUAUGACUUCAAGAUAAGAAGAUAUAUGUUAAACCAUUCAAUCAAUCUUAAAAUUCUCAUAUACAAAGAAAAACAAGUCUACUAUCCAAACACACAACUUUCACUCCAAUCCAAUUAGUAGAUUGUAAGAUAUCUUAAAAAUCCUCAUUGGUCCUCAAAACCCUAAAUUCUAAGACCAUAACCCACAAAAACCUUAAUAAUCCUCAAUCCAACCAUUUGAUCAAGCUCAAAUUUACAACACAUAUUAAGAAAAAUUAUAAUCAUUAAUCCACAAAAUUUCAUCUAUAGAUUUGUUACAAAACUCUUGAAAUCGUCCAAAAUGUCGACCCUACUUUAUUUCACAAAAUCCAAGUCAUCUGAAGACAAACUUGACUUUGUAAAGCUCUUACAAAGUCAUUACAAAUCCAAAUCAUACAAAAAUAAUGCUCUUGAAAACCUUAUCUAGUCUAUUUUAAAAUCUCAUUC
rnacentral:lncRNA from 1 species